AACCGUUUCCCAGUUUUUAAUAGUUCUAGAACAGAAGACAGCCAUUCAUUACGGUGCUUUUCAAACCACUGCUGGCAACUUCAGAAAGUUAGGUCCCCCAUCAUGGUGGAUGCUGUCAUCUUCUAAUCAAGAGACUGGAGGAUGGUUCAUGAGCCAGGAAUAAUAGGAUCCUUCUGAGAAGGUCCAUGUGGAAUGGCUGCCAGGAAAUGAGUUGUGAAUAUUGAAAGCAAGUCCUCUUGGAGAAGAAACCUGACUUUGUGUUUCUAAUCCAUGACAGCAAGUGGGGCGUCUGAAGACCUAGUCCAGUUGUAGGAGAUCAGCUGCUGUUGGGUGCCACCUUGCCUGCUUUGAAACUGACAGAAAAUGAGGUACGGAAGCAGCUUCCAGACCACAGACUUCCCUCGGCUGUCUGUUUCUUGGUCUUCAUGGGACGGCUAUUUCCAGGGCUCAUCUACCUUCAAGAGCCUCAGAAAGAAGCCAAAGUGCAAGGUCAGCCCUCUCCGAUCUCGGCUGCUUGGUACCGAGACAGGGAAAGUCUUGCCACAACUGCUUUUUCCGAGACAACCUCUCAUAAACCUAAUUGGCUAAAAGCCACAUGACCACCUGUCCAUUGAAGGGAGCCUGGAAGAGUUAAGAGCAGGCUCCCCGCAGUGGGCGUGGCUCUUCCCAAGCUGUUAUAAUGUAAGCCUCGCAAUUCCCGGGAGGGCUUGUUCAAACACAGAUAACUGGGCUCCACCCCCUGGAUGUGCCAAUUUAGCAAGCCUAGGUUAGGACCUAAGAAUUUAGAUUAGGUGACAUUCAUAUUGUGUGCUGCUAUGGGUCUUGGAACAAUUUGAGAACCACUGACUUCCACUAAUGCCUUUCUCCAGAGUAGAUUGGGUAGAUAUGUGGAGAGCAUUUUGGGGAGCACAGGAUGGACGCAGGUGGUGAGACAGUCUCAUGUAGCCCAGGCUGGCCCUGAACUCCUGAGUCUCUGUCUUACCUCCUGAGUACCGGGAUUGCAUGCCCCACCACACGUGGUUUCUGGAGUGUGUAAUAUCCUCGUCUGGACUGCCAGCCUGCAAAUAACGACUUGGAGACUUAUCAUUAAUUAUGAAAGCUAGGCCUUAGCUUGGGCUUGUCCCACUAGCUCUUAUAACUUAAAUUAGCACAUUUAUAUUAAUCUACGUUUUGCCUUGUGACUUUUUACCUUUCUUUCAUUCUGUAUGUCCAAUCCCCCCCUGUAUUCCUCCUCCUCUUUCUUUCUCUUCGGGGAAAUCCUGCUUAUACUUACUGCCUAGCUACCGGCUGGUCAGCUUUUUAUUACACCAAUCACAGCAA